UGUUGUAUUGUCUAAUGGGAAAUGACACUUUGUAGACUUGCUGCAAGCUGUUUGUUGCUCCUUCAGCGUGCUUCAUCUGAUGAAGUUUGGCAUGAAAACGAUAUAUCACUUCAGCUCAAGGACGGCUGGACAUGGGACAUCUGAACCUUUGCAGGGGGCUCACGACUCCAGACACUUGAGGGAGGGAAGGAGGUGUUCCUUUUGGGUUGGCACGACCGGACAUAACAGUGAGAGAGCUUACUGAGAGCGAUGGGCAACCCUAAAAGGGCAAGUGACAGCAACACGAUACCGCUCUUAAAUAAGCAUGCAGAGUCUAUCACACGCACAGUUCAUGCAUUUAGCAUGCAUCUCCCAUAAUUCCUUGCAAGUGGCGAUACAUUUGUACAGAUGUCACCCAUUUGUUCUUGUCAUCCUCUAUUUGGCGAAGAGGGUUUUAGAUUAGUGUGGUAUUAAGUAACUAUGUAUUCCCACUCUCAAGCCAAACCACUCUCCUCUGAGAUGCUGCAGGACGUGUCCAUGUAUAGCUAACAGCACAGCUCUGUUAGGCCUAAAACAAAUGGUCCGCCGUCAUGUGGUAUUAUCGCUGUGGCUACUGCAUUUAUAGCUCCUAAGGCUCUCACAGCUGGCUGCACAGUGCUAUUACUAUCCCACGUAACAUUAAAAAAAAAAAGCUAUAUUUCUGUAUCUAUCUUUUCCAAUCACAUGACAAAGGCUCAUGCUAUAAAUAAAGAGAGCUCA